CUUUGCUAAUAAUAGGAGGGGAAAUUUGGGACCCGAACUCACCAGUGACGUCGCCUCACGUGACCAGGAGCUGGUGUGUUGAAGCCUCGGUCCAGAUAGCGGUUCUUGCUCAGGUAACCAGCUCCGGAUUGCCUUGGAGUGGCGUGACUGUGGGCAAAGAAGAAGGAGGACGAAGAGGAAACCCUUACCGAUUCCUGUCGGUCACGAUACAGCUUGCAGUUUCAGACUCCGCAUCUGACCGGUUCUCACUAGCCUUUGAGAGAAAGGAGACCCCUGAGAUACUCGCUCCUGCUGCGACAUGGGCCGUGCUCAGAAUUUGGGCUUGAUGGCUACGGGCCUGGUGGUCGGGGCUGGCUCCUGGUACUACAUAUACCGACUGACGUUUGGUGGAGAGCAGAACAAGAAGAGACCAGCUGAUUCGAAAGACAUUAAUCCUGCCUACAAAAAGUUUAGAAAAUACAGGAAACUGUAAGGAAGAAAAUAAGAAAUAAACCACAGAUAAUUAACUAAG